rnacentral:rRNA from 1 species
UACAGGGGGAUAACAGUUAGAAAUGACUGCUAAUACCGCAUAAGACCACAGCACCGCAUGGUGCGGGGGUAAAAACUCCGGUGGUAUGAGAUGGACCCGCGUCUGAUUAGCUAGUUGGUAAGGUAACGGCUUACCAAGGCGACGAUCAGUAGCCGACCUGAGAGGGUGACCGGCCACAUUGGGACUGAGACACGGCCCAAACUCCUACGGGAGGCAGCAGUGGGGAAUAUUGCACAAUGGGGGAAACCCUGAUGCAGCGACGCCGCGUGAGCGAAGAAGUAUUUCGGUAUGUAAAGCUCUAUCAGCAGGGAAGAAAAUGACGGUACCUGACUAAGAAGCACCGGCUAAAUACGUGCCAGCAGCCGCGGUAAUACGUAUGGUGCAAGCGUUAUCCGGAUUUACUGGGUGUAAAGGGAGCGUAGACGGAUGGGCAAGUCUGAUGUGAAAACCCGGGGCUCAACCCCGGGACUGCAUUGGAAACUGUUCAUCUAGAGUGCUGGAGAGGUAAGUGGAAUUCCUAGUGUA